rnacentral:rRNA from 1 species
CCUACGGGAGGCAGCAGUGAGGAAUAUUGGUCAAUGGACGCAAGUCUGAACCAGCCAUGCCGCGUGCAGGAAGACGGCACUAUGAGUUGUAAACUGCUUUUGUACGAGGGUAAACGCAGAUACGCGUAUCUGUCUGAAAGUAUCGUACGAAUAAGGAUCGGCUAACUCCGUGCCAGCAGCCGCGGUAAUACGGAGGAUUCAAGCGUUAUCCGGAUUUAAUGGGUUUAAAGGGUGCGUAGGCGGUCGGAUAAGUUAGAGGUGAAAUCCCGAGGCUCAACUUCGGAAUUGCCUCUGAUACUGUUCGGCUAGAGAGUAGUUGCGGUAGGCGGAAUGUAUGGUGUAGCGGUGAAAUGCUUAGAGAUCAUACAGAACACCGAUUGCGAAGGCAGCUUACCAAGCUACUUCUGACGUUGAGGCACGAAAGCGUGGGGAGCAAACAGGAUUAGAUACCCGAGUAGUC